UACGUAGGGGGCAAGCGUUGUCCGGAAUCAUUGGGCGUAAAGAGCGCGUAGGCGGCCCGAUAAGUCCGCUGUGAAAGUCAAGGGCUCAACCCUUGAAUGCCGGUGGAUACUGUCGGGCUAGAGUCCGGAAGAGGCGAGUGGAAUUCCUGGUGUAGCGGUGAAAUGCGCAGAUAUCAGGAGGAACACCAAUGGCGAAGGCGGCGACCUGGGUGGAUACUGACGCUGAGGCGCGAAAGCGUGGGGAGCAAACAGG
rnacentral:rRNA from 1 species